rnacentral:rRNA from 1 species
AGCCGCCGCGGGAAUACCCGCGCCCCAAGUGGUGGUCGAUAUUAUUGAGCCUAAAACGUCCGUAGCCGGUCUUCUAAAUCCUUGGGUAAAUCGGGCAGCCCAACUGUCCGAAUUCCGGGGAGACUGGGAGACUUGGGACCGGGAGAGGUCAGAGGUACUUCUGGGGUAGGGGGUAAAAAUCCUGUAAUCCUGGAAGGACCACCGGUGGCGAAGGCGUCUGACUAGAACGGAUCCGACGGUGAGGGACGAAGCCCUGGGGCGCAAACGGGAUUAGAUACCCCGGUAGUCCAGGGUGUAAACGCUGCGGGCUUGGUGUUGGGGGUCCUUAGUGGGCGCCCAGUGCCGGAGAGAAGUUGUUAAGCCUGCUGCUUGGGGAGUAUGUCCGCAAGGAUGAAACUUAAAGGAAUUGGCGGGGGAGCACCGCAAACCGGGAGGAGCGUGCGGUUCAAUUGGAUUCAACGCCGAAGAACUCACCAGGAGCGACGGAUAUAUGAAGGUCAAGCCGAUGACUUUACCUGAUUUUCCGAGUAGAGGUGCAUGG